rnacentral:rRNA from 1 species
AUCUCAGUUCGGAUUGCAGGCUGCAACUCGCCUGCAUGAAGCUGGAAUUGCUAGUAAUCGCGGAUCAGCAAGCCGCGGUGAAUACGUUCCCGGGCCUUGUACACACCGCCCGUCACACCAUGAGAGUCGGGAACACCCGAAGUCCGUAGUCUAACCGCAAGGGGGCGCGGCCGAAGGUGGGUCCGGUAAUUGGGGUGAAGUCGUAACAAGGUAUC